AUUGAACGCUGGCGGCAUGCCUUACACAUGCAAGUCGAACGGCAGCACGGGAGCAAUCCUGGUGGCGAGUGGCGAACGGGUGAGUAAUAUAUCGGAACGUGCCUAGUAGUGGGGGACAACCAUUCGAAAGAGUGGCUAAUACCGCAUACGCACUCUGGUGGAAAGUGGGGGAUCGCAAGACCUCACGCUAUUAGAGCGGCCGAUAUCAGAUUAGGUAGUUGGUGGGGUAAAGGCCUACCAAGCCUGCGAUCUGUAGCUGGUCUGAGAGGACGACCAGCCACACUGGGACUGAGACACGGCCCAGCCUCCUACGGGAGGCAGCAGUGGGGAAUUUUGGUCAAGGGGCGCAAGCCUGAUCCAGCCAUGCCGCGUGUGGGAAGCAGGCCUUCGGGUUGUAAACCACUUUUGUCAGGGAAGAAACGGCUCUAGCUAAUAUCUGGAGCUAAUGACGGUACCUGAAGAAUAAGCACCGGCUAACUACGUGCCAGCCGCCGCAGUAA
rnacentral:rRNA from 1 species